UAUGUUGUAAUUACAAAACAGCCGUUAUUCAAAAUACUUAUAUGUAUCAUUCAUUGCUUUUGAACUACGUCUCAGAGUCUGUCCAAUUUGAAUGUGUUUUAGUGCAACUUGCCCAGUCGGGGUGUGCUCCUCAAAUGGAAAUACAUCAAGCAUUGCUGCGUUCAAUGGAUUUGACAGACACCUCGAAUAUUUUUCUUCUUUUUGAAGACAUCUUAGAUGAAGAUGUCAACCACCUGUCAUCUGCUGUCAGUAUCCGAGGCUUCACUUCCAUGAGGUUUUACCUAAAUGAUAGUGCAAAUCACCUGGAAAGCAUUAUGAGGACGUCAAUCAAUACAAAUAACCUGGAUAGCUUUCGAGAUUUGUUUAACUUCAUCGUUAUAUGCAAAUCAGACUGUGUUCAACAGAUAAUAGAUAAGGUAUGUAUUUAUGGUGUCUAAUUAGUACUGUGAAUAUUCUUAUCCGAGAUUCCGUAUGCAUUAUGUAGGGGAGACCGGGGCACAUUGGAACACCCUGUGUAUUGCAAUUGGGAUAUUGUUUUGCAUUGGAACACCCUGUGUAUUGCAAUUGGGAUAGUGCAAUCACAUGACCCUUCCCCGUAGGCGUCGUGACAUGUUCCCUGCCAAGUUUGAAGCAGAAACAGAAAUCUUAAUCUUGGUGAGUAAAAUUUGCUUUUUGCACUUGUAUGUAAAAUUGAGACAUCCAACUCUAAACUCCUUUAUGAAAAGACAGGUGCACAUUCACUUGAUUUAAUACUUUUGUGAAAAUACAUGAUUAUUGAGGAUGUUCUUCUCGCCACAUGGUUAUUUGAUUCAGAAAUUGUAAGAAUGCAUGGGUAUGUGUAGCGUACAAUGGGACAUGAAAAACGGGGUGUUACAGCGAUCAGCAUGUCCGUCCGCCCGUGUGCCCUCCGUCCAUUUUCUCUUUCCGGAGCAGAACUCCUACGCCGUUGAAUAUGUCUUGAUGAAACUUGCUAUACAGAUCAGUCAAGUGGUGAAUUAGUGCCUUUCGAUGAUUUUGGAUUUCUAUUUGUAAUUUUUUUAUUUGCUUUCAUGACUACAUGUCGGACUUUAUUGAAAAUGAGGGAAGUGCUCGUUUCUAGCGCAGAACCCCCAAACCGUUGAAUAUGUCUUGAUGAAACGUGCUAUACAGAUCAGUCUAAUGAUGAACUUGUGCCUUCUGAGAAUUUGGGAUGUUUAUUGUUUAAUGGUUUUUUAAAAUUUCUUUAUGACGACAAGUUAGACCUUUACUGAAAAUAAGGGUGGUGCGCAUUUCUGGAGCAGAACCCCAAAGUGUAGAAUUUUUCUUGAUGAAACUUGAUAAAAGAUCUGUCUAGUGGUGAACUGGUGCAUAUUGAGGUUUUGGAGAUAUUGAAAAAUACUCAACAGCAUAUUCCAUUACCUUUGUCUUCACUGACAUGAAUGUACCCCAUGGCAAUGAACCAAACGUUUGGUAUAAGUAGCCAUACACUAUUUCGGAAUUUACCAGAUCGGGGGUUAACAUUAAUCUGAUAUCAAGGACAGUGUAUGUAGUUUGGUCGCUGAACUGAAUACGAUACAGGGCAUGGUUUGAAAUAAAAAUAUGUAUAUAUGUUGUUAUUGGUGAUUCGACAUUACGACAAACGGGAUAUCUUUUGUCUGUCAAAAUAUGAUUGAUUUCAUAGGGGUGAAAAGUUAAAAUCCUCAAAUGUAACAAAAAAUCUAGUCUUGCAUUCUGUUGCCUACAGUCCAAUAAGUGAUUGUCCUAAACUGCCCAAACAAGUAUUCUAAUGCACCUGGACAAAGGGUGGACUGUGACAAAGAAAAUUCAAUUGAUAAUAUCUAAGAUUGUCUAAUGUUGUUGCAAAGUUCUCUUGCUCCAAUGUUUGUCGUUAGAGGCUCUAGUGAUAUGAUGUGUUGUUUUGUUUCUGUACCCAUUGCAACAGAAGAUAUGGAACAAAACAUAGUGUUGUCUCAAUGUGGCCCAAUCUCUCCUAUGUAUUUAUUUUCAUGGCUUUGAUAAAUGAAAUUUAAGUAUAAAUAUAUGGAUAGAGAUGACAAUGGCGAUAACACCAUACGUGGAUGUUCACAUAAAACUAAGAACUGACCUAUUUUAGGUGACAUACCUAGACAAGGAAUUUGGUAGAAGAUCACUACUGCGUCACUUUUCAAAGUGGAUGUUCAUAUGCAAGCACCACGAUGCAUCCUUAAUGGUUCCUGAGACGACACUGGACAAUGUGGCAGUUGUUCACGCUGAAGAACCUGGUCAGGGAUGUCGUGAACCAUCGUCAAAGACCUGUUUCACUAUUAAGACUUUAAUGUGGGAUACGAAAGGGCGGAACUUAAAGAAGGUUUACGAUCGGUGUCCUGCUGAGGGGGUAGAAUGCAGUUUUGACAGGAUGUUCCCCAACACUAGAUACGGGCUUAAUGGAAGGAACCUAACGAUUG
rnacentral:lncRNA from 1 species